rnacentral:rRNA from 1 species
AAAGACUUGACGGUGCCUCACACCAACCUAGAGGAGCCUGUCCACUAACCGAUACUCCACGAUUAACCUCACCCACUUUAGCCCCACAGUCUAUAUACCGCCGUCGCCAGCUUACCCUGUAAAAGAAAUAAAGUGAGCAAAAUAGGACCCCCUAGCACGACAGGUCGAGGUGUAACUAAUAAGUGGGUAAAAGAUGGGCUACAUUUUCUAUAACAGAAAACACGAAUAGACUAUGAAACUAGAAACUGAAGGUGGAUUUAGCAGUAUGCUAGGAAUAUAAAACCCAACAGAAACUAAAGCAAUGAGGCGCGCACACACCGCCCGUCAUCCCUG